rnacentral:tRNA from 1 species
GGAAGGGUCGCAUAGUCUGGCCUAGUGCGCACGAUUGGAAAUCGUGUAGGCGGUUAAACGUCUCGAGGGUUCGAAUCCCUCCCCUUCCG